AGCAGCGCGGCUUAAUGGAAAGAGCCUGGUCUUGGGAAUCAGAGGAUGUGGGUUCUAAUUCCGCCUCUACCA
rnacentral:tRNA from 1 species